GGGGAGUAGCGCAAUUGGUUAGCGCACCGGACUGUCGAUCCGGCGGUUGCGAGUUCGAUCCUCGUCUCUC
rnacentral:tRNA from 1 species